ACGGGCAUUGCCUCAGUAACGGCGAGUGAAGCGGCAAAAGCUCAAAUUUGAAAUCUGGCUGCUUUUUUAGUAGUCCGAGUUGUAAUUUGAAGAAUAGAUCCUUGGAGAGGCGCCUUGUCUAUGUUCCUUGGAACAGGACGUCGCAGAGGGUGAGAAUCCCGUUUGGCGAGGUGUGCUGAUCCGUGUAAGGGCUGUUCGACGAGUCGAGUUGUUUGGGAAUGCAGCUCUAAGUGGGUGGUAAAUUCCAUCUAAAGCUAAAUAUUGGCGAGAGACCGAUAGCGAACAAGUACAGUGAUGGAAAGAUGAAAAGAACUUUGAAAAGAGAGUGAAAAAGUACGUGAAAUUGUUGAAAGGGAAGGUUAUUAGAUCAGACUUGGAUUUUUUAUUAUAUUUGUCUCCUUGUGGGGCAUUCACUAAUUUUUAAUCCAGGCCAGCAUCGAUUGGGAUGGCGGGAAAAAGAGGGAGGAACGUGGCUGUGCAUUUAUGUGCAGUGUUUAUAGCCUUUCUUAAUACCGCCUGUCUCGAUCGAGGACUGCGGCAAAUUUAUUUUUGCCUAGGAUGCUGGCGUAAUGAUCUAAUAUCGCCCGUCUUGAAMMACGRAMAMAAA
rnacentral:rRNA from 1 species